CCACACCCCUGAGCUCCAUGGAUGGAGGCAGGUGAGGACCAGCCAUUGGUCAUUAGCUGUCACUGGAUCGUGGGGGUGUCAGGAAGUGGGUCCUCCCCUGGCCAGGGCUUGUCAUACACAUCGGGGGCAGGGCCCAAGGCCAGGAUAAAAGGGAGCCAGAGGCAGAGCUCCUCAUCUGCUCACCUCCUGAGGUACCACGAACCCCGUGCUGCCUGCUACCUGAUCCCGAACGCCCGCCUGCCCAGAUGUCCUGCCAGCAGAGCCAGCAGCAGUGCCAGCCCCCUCCCAAGUGCCCCCCCAAGUGCCCUCCCAAGUGCCAAGCCCCCAAAUGCCCCCCAAAGUGUCCCCCUAAGUGUCCUCCAGUGUCCUCCUGCUGCAUCUCCAGCUCCGGGGGCUGCUGUGGCUCUGGGGGUGGGGGCUGCUGCAGCUCUGGGGGUGGGGGCUGCUGCAGCUCUGGGGGCGGCGGCUGCUGCCUGAGCCACCACAGGCCCCGCAGGUCGCACCGCCGCAGACAGCAGAGCUCAGGCUGCUGCAGCCAGCCCUCGGGGGGCUCCAGCUGCUGCGGAGGGGGCGGCAGCCAGUCAUCUGGGGACUGCUGCUGAGGGGGACCCUGAGCCUGGAAAAGCAGAAUUAGAGGAAUGAAAGGGGCAACUGCAUCUUCCUUGGGCCUGGCUGUGUUGCUGAGACUUUUAUUGAAGACUUCAAACACUGCCUUGGAAGACUCCUCUGACCUGACACCCAGAAAUCUCUGUCUUCUCCCAAAACUCUCUGCAGCUGCCCAGGAACCCAGCUACUUAUGUCAUUCCCCAGAUUCCUUCCUUGUCAGUGCACUGCGUUAAGUCAAACAAUAAAAUAAACCAUCCACUCAC